GGCACCGUGGCCUAAUGGUAAGGCGUCGCUUUCCGGUGGCGAAGAUUGUGGGUUCGAGUCCCAUCGGUGUCG
rnacentral:tRNA from 1 species